rnacentral:lncRNA from 1 species
CUUCUUUCACCGUCGAUUCUCUGCUAUCUCUUUUCUCACUCUUCUUUCACCAAUUCUCGGUCAUCUCUUUUGAAUCAUCCUGUUAAUUAGAAAAGUGAGUCUAUGUUAAUGGCAUCUCUUCAGUUAGCAAAGUUUUACUGUUUAUUUUUAACCCAUUUUUAAGAGUGCUUAUAGAAAGGAUUGCCUAAGCUAUUUUUCUUUUAAACUUUUCUGAGGGACU